GCCGUUGUAGCUCAGCUCAGGCAGAGCGCCCGGUUGAAGCCCGGAAGGUCACAGGUUCAAAUCCUGUCAGCGGCACCC
rnacentral:tRNA from 2 species